ensembl:lncRNA
UAAAUCUGUAAAAUGGAGAAGUUCUCAGUGAAUUCUCACAAGAGCAGGUUUGAAAAAAAUCACUUCUAUAAAUCACGGGCUCACGUAGCAGGGUGAGGCUCACGGCAGCAGCCGCCUUUCAUGCCAGCAGGUGCUUACCCAAAAGCUUGUUUGGAACAGUGAAUAUGGAUUAAAUCUUUGCAUGGCAUUUUCCACAGCCUACUUUGUUGCAGCUACUGUACCCUGUCUCUCUUCUUGUCUCCCAUUUCCACAAGGAUCUGGGUUUUUGGCUUCUUACCUUGCAGCUACUGUUGGAAACUUGAGUUCAGCAUAGCUAGGAGACUGCUUGCUGGGGAGAGAAGUUCCAGCAGCCCUGCCUUUGUCCAGCCUGCCCUCAUUAGGGAGCAUGAGCUGGGGAACAGCUUCAGGCAGCAAAACCCCUGUGAAGGAAAUGUGGGCAUCUUCUGUACUCGAGGUGACUCACUAGUGGCAGCUGGCAGCACUGCCUUGGAGGAGGAGCGGGACAUGUCUGUGUUGAAGCAGUUGGGUAAGUUUGCUGCCAUUUGUUACUGCCUUCAGAAUUCAGCCAGUCUGAAUCACAGGGGAUUUUAAAAGUAAAGGGUAGAGGCAAGGUAACCCAUACCCAUGGCAGGCUUUGUGGGAGAGACACUGCUGCAGCCUCCAGCUGGGCUCAGACCUGUGCAACAGCUCCAUGCCAAGGUUGUGAUGCUCUCUUGCUGCGUUGGAGGGAUCCAGUCACCUCGUCACUUAGUCCUGGGUCAGCCCUAAUUGCACCCAAGAUGGGUGAGAGGUGACUCCUGUGUUCAUUCACUGGUGUGGAGCACUGUAGAAGCAGAAUCAAGGGUGUAAUUACCUCUGUCCCUUCCCUGGUGUCCCACGAUGGCUCACAGGAAUUUUCCAGACUCAUUCCUGGUAGGAGUGGCUCCCUCUUCCCAUUUCUGAAGGGGAUGCAGGCUCUGCUCCUGUGUGAGCACUUUGCUGGUCAACAUCCCUGCUGCCAGGAUAGCUGCUGCCCCUGCUCAGAGCACAGUGGGCUGGGGUCAGCAGUGGGCCCGUGGCCUCCGCCCCACUGGAGGACCCUCUUUAGUGUUGGAUUUCCUCUGUGGGCAGGAGGGUCCCAGGUGCCCUUUGGUGACAGAGGAGCUCUGAUGAGGGGUAGCAGCGUGGUCAGGGCCUUGUGCCCCAUCGGGAUGAGGGUUGCAGAGGAGGAGCCAGCACAGGACGUGUGGGAUGUGUGGGCAGGAGGGGAGUACACACAGGACAUUGUUCUGCAUGGCUUGUCUCAUCUUCCCCAGUGCCCACUGUCAGCCAGGGCUCUGGUGAAUCUAGCAGGAGGUUAUCACUGUAAGGAAUAAUCACCUAUGCACGUCUCCUGAUGCAAAUUAGCUCAUGGUAGCUUGCUUUAUUGCUAUUCUCCAAUUAAAACUUUUCCUAUUUAACAAAAAAAGCUCCACAGGAACCAGAGUCACUUCAGUACACAAAGCAUCUGGGUGGUACUGUGGGAGCACACGUUCAUUCAGGGUUAAACCCCUGCAGGCAGAGGCUCUGAAGGUGUGGCUGGUGUUAAAGUUUGGGAGGUAAGAGACGUGAUUGAAUGUAAAGGACAUUAAAGAACUAAAGUGAGACAGUGCAUAUGCUAGAAAAGCUUCAGCUUAGUUUCACAGAAAAAGAAAAUGGAAGAGAAAGAAAAAGCAGCCCUAACCUUGAUGUUCUUGGCAGUGUGUUAGCCCUGAGCAUGCUCUGGGUGUGCCCAUCCUAUCUGGACACCACAGCCAGUGUUGUGACAGGGCAGGGAGAGUUUGAGAAACUUCAGACCUUCAACAUCUUCUGUUUAUUUUUAAUUUCAGCCUUAUCUUCUGAUUUUGCUUGAUGUUUGGAAUAACCAUAAUUGUAACCUGCUUGUAAUGUGCUUUGCCCUAAAUUACUGAUGAGGCUUUUGGCCUUUGCUAGCCAGUGAGUGUUAAAGCAAAGUGGCAAAUCGUGCAGCUACUCUGAAAGUACGGGGGGAUGCUGUGUUUGUUCUCCCAGGCUUUGCCCGCGCUAGUUACCCACCCUCCUGUGAUAGUGAUAACGCUGGUGGCAGCAUUUGCAGCCAAGGGUGCUCCUCCUGCAGCAGCACAGCUGGGCUGAUGGGUGCUUGGGGCUCCCUGGGCCUGGGACAUGGGACACUGGAGCUUGGGGACUGCUCUGCCACGUGCCUGGCUUCAGCAGCAGUCUCAGCUGUGGGGUGGCAGGAGAUGGGAGGAUGCAAGAUUCCUGCUCCAGGUCCUACAAAAGUGAUGUAAGCAAAGUUUGGUGCCGGGGGAACAGGGCAGAUUGUGUGAGCUCGGGCUGGAGGAGCAGCAGUGAUGGACAGUCCCUACAGCACUGAAUCUACCUCCUAGGGAAAUCUGAGAAAUGGGUGUUGCUAUGGCCUAUUUCAAGGUAAAGUUUUAAUCAUGUUCGCCCUUGGCAAAGCCCUUGGGCUAUUGUGGUGCUAUUGUAAACCGUUGGCAGCUUAGCACAGUAGGGCUGGACUCACCUCCUGGCCCUCGGGCUGGGGCUUCUUGGCCAGCUGAUCCCAUCCCUGUGGAGCUGGGGCCGGGCUUCAGCAACUGUGACUGAAACAGGACAAGGAGCUACUCGGUUCCUUCAGUUUAUGGUGGCUUUGAGACUAAACCAGUGUGCCACUGAGCCCCGUGGGGAGCCCGUGGAGCCACGUGAAGCAAGCAGGCAUCCGCUACUGCAUGUUCUUCGUGUCCGUUUGGUACUGAGCUGGUUUCAGUUUUUAUUUCUUUUUCUGAUGUUUCCGAGUUGUUGACUUCAAGGAACUGGGUUUUGUGUAUUUUUUGUAGACACUGGGAACUUGUUAAAAGGAAAAGCAGCAAGCACACCGGGAGGCUUAAGGUGGAGCAUGGCUGGAGCUGAGGGUGGGAGGUGGGAUGGUGGGGAUGGCUCUCCCUGCGAGGGGCCAUGGAAGCUUUGCUGCAGUGGCGCUCCCAGCCCUGCACAUCCGUGGUGCUGAGCUCGCUGUCCCACCAGCCUGCUCGCCCCCAAGACACUGACCAUGCUGGGCGCCGUGCCUCUCGCUUUUGAUGUCCCUGCCACCCUCCAGCACUGUGUGCUCCCAGCUGGGUCCUGGCUGCCCGCUAGCCAAGGGCCCUGGGGAGGGUGGCUGCCCACUGCCCCUUCCUCACUGCCCAGGGACAUGGGGGGCCACUCAUGGCAGCAGCGAAAGUUGUGCUGGAGCCAUGAGUGAAAGGUUUGCUCAUGGGAAGAACCUUGGUGUGAGCAGCCCCAUGCUGCCUCCCUUCCCCUCCGAGGUCUGCUGCCCACGGGUGACAGUGAAUGGGGGUCCCCCUCAGGGUCCUGUUCUGCAGGCUCAGGCAGAGGGAAACACAUCAGGAGUCAAGAAUCCCAGCCAAGGCAGAGGCCAGCACUGGAGCGCUGCAGGGGGGACAAAGGGGUGCUCAGCCCUGGACAGGAGUCGUCUGUCAGUUGUAAGAAGGAAUGUCAGAGCAGGUGAGAGUAAACUACAUAUUUCCAGCAUGUAUAUUAUUUUUAGAAGAGGGAGAGGGGAGAGUCUUGGACCAUUGAUUACUUUAAUUUUGCUCCCCUUAGACUGUUGGCUGUGUAUGUGAAACUUAUCAUGAAAAGAGGGUUGCCCUGCCCAGGUGCUCCCAGAACAUGUACUGUAAUUCUUUGUAUAUAGAAGAAAAAUUACUGUAAAGUAAAGUUUAACUUUACUCU